rnacentral:rRNA from 1 species
AGUGGUGAAAGUCCGCGGCUCAACCGUGGGAUUGCCAUUGAAACUGUUGUUCUUGAGUACAGUCGAGGUAGGCGGAAUGUGUAAUGUAGCGGUGAAAUGCAUAGAUAUUACCCAGAACACCGAUUGCGUAGGCAGCUUACCAGCCUGGAACUGACGCUGAUGCACGAAAGCGUGGGGAGCGAACGGGAUUAGAUACCCUGGUAGUCCACGCCGUAAACGAUGAUCACUCGCUGUUGGCAAUAUAGAGUCAGCGGCUGAGCGAAAGCAUUAAGUGAUCCACCUGGGGAGUACGUCGGCAACGAUGAAACUCAAAGGAAUUGACGGGGGCCCGCACAAGCGGUGGAACAUGUGGUUUAAUUCGAUGAUACGCGAGGAACCUUACCUGGGCUUAAAUGUAGCCGGACGAUUCCGGAAACGGGAUUUCCUUAACGGCUGGUUACAAGGUGCUGCAUGGCUGUCGUCAGCUCGUGCCGUGAGGUGUCGGGUUAAGUCCCAUAACGAGCGCAACCCUUAUUCUUAGUUGCCAGCGGGUAGAGCCGGGGACUCUAAGGAGACUGCCACCGUAAGGUGUGAGGAAGGUGGGGAUGACGUCAAGUCAGCACGGCCCUUACGUCCAGGGCUACACACGUGUUACAAUGGCCGGUACAGAAGGCAGCAAACUUGAGAGAGGGCGCGAAUCCAUGAAAGCCGGUCUCAGUUCGGAUUGGAGUCUGCAACCCGACUUCAUGAAGUUGGAAUCGCUAGUAAUCGCGCAUCAGCAACGGCGCGGUGAUACGUUCCCGGGCCUUGUACACACCGCCCGUCAAGCCAUGGAAGCCGGGGGUACCUGAAGUCCGUA